UACGUAGGGGGCGAGCGUUGUCCGGAUUUAUUGGGCGUAAAGAGCGUGUAGGCGGCUUUACAGGUCCGUUGUGAAAACUCGAGGCUCAACUUCGAGCUGUCGGUGGAAACUAUUUGGCUAGAGUCCGGAAGAGGAGAGUGGAAUUCCUGGUGUAGCGGUGAAAUGCGCAGAUAUCAGGAAGAACACCCGUGGCGAAGGCGGCUCUCUGGUACGGAACUGACGCUGAGACGCGAAAGCGUGGGGAGCGAACAGG
rnacentral:rRNA from 1 species